UAUGAUGAUGUAAUUAGGUAGUUCUAGUCCAUUUACUUUGAGAAAAUUAGAGUGUUUAAAGCAAGCCUCUUGGGGCACUGAAUACAUUAGCAUGGGAUAAUAGAAUAGGAUCUUUACAAUAUAUUUUAUUGGUUUAAAUUGAAAUAAGAUAAUGAUUAAUAGGGACAGUUGGGGGUAUUCAUAUUGGGUGGUUAGCGGUGAAAUGCUCGGAUCCAUUCAAGAUGAACUAAAGCGAAAGCAUUUACCAAGGAUGUUUCAUUAAUCAAGAACGAAAGUUAAGGGAUCGAAGACGAUUAGAUACCGUCGUAGUCUUAACUAUAAACUAUGCCGACCAGGGAUAUGAGUUGUUAAGAUUAUAUGAAAAUAUAAUCAAUUUCUUCUUAUGGACCUUGUGAGAAAUCAUAAGUUAUUAGGUUCUGGGGGGGAGUAUGGUCGCAAGGCUGAAACUUAAAGGAAUUGACGGAGG
rnacentral:rRNA from 1 species